AACGAACGCUGGCGGCAUGCCUAACACAUGCAAGUCGAACGAGACCUUCGGGUCUAGUGGCGCACGUGUGCGUAACGCGUGGGAACCUGCCCUUAGGUUCGGAAUAACUCCCCGAAAGGGGUGCUAAUACCGGAUAAUGUCUUCGGACCAAAGAUUUAUCGCCUUUGGAUGGGCCCGCGUUGGAUUAGCUAGUUGGUAGGGUAAAAGCCUACCAAGGCGACGAUCCAUAGCUGGUCUGAGAGGAUGAUCAGCCACACUGGGACUGAGACACGGCCCAGACUCCUACGGGAGGCAGCAGUGGGGAAUAUUGGACAAGGGGCGAAAGCCUGAUCCAGCAAUGCCGCGUGAGUGAUGAAGGCCUUAGGGUUGUAAAGCUCUUUUACCCGGGAUGAUAAUGACAGUACCGGGAGAAUAAGCGCCGGCUAACUCCGUG
rnacentral:rRNA from 1 species